AUUGCACUCUUUGAGCUCAAUCUGUUGUCAUCAGUUUAAUAUCAGAUACAUCCUCAAUCUGAAGACUCUAUAUAAAACUGAUUUUUAGAACAGGGAGACAACACUGGAGCUUGCUGUGGGCACUCCAUGCAUCAACCUGAUAUUGUACUAAUUCCAGGAAAUGUGCACUUUCC
rnacentral:snRNA from 1 species